AAAUCUACAGCGACGAUCAAGCUAGAACUACUCCCUUUGACUGACGGCAUAAUCACACUUGAUACUCUCCAAAUCCACGUUAAGGAGAAAGGUCGUAGGUACAUACCAGAGCAGUCACUGAAGAUAAACGCAACGUCAAGCAUUUCCUCUGGAAUGUUUUAGACAGUCUUUUACCCAAUACCACUUUUUGCCUUUCUUAGAACUAAAAAUGAUUUAUUCAAACACUGAGAAGUCACACAGUUCAGAUGUCCAUGUUCAUCUCAGUAGGUUCAUUCAAAAAGAUUGUGUGUGUCUAUAUUACAUCCAAAAGAUGUUGAAAAAAGAAAGUUAAAGAUGUAAAACCACUUCUGUCUCCUAUUUAUUUGAACAUGUGUGUGGUUUGCAUUC